rnacentral:rRNA from 1 species
GUGCCGUAGCUAACGCAUUAAGUACCCCGCCUGGGGAGUACGGCCGNNNNNNUAAAACUCAAAGGAAUUGNACGGGGCCCCGCACAAGCGGCGGAGCAUGCGGAUUAAUUCGAUGCAACGCGAAGAACCUUACCUGGGUUUGACAUAUAUCGGAAACGUUCAGAGAUGGGCGCCCCGUAAGGUCGGUAUACAGGUGGUGCAUGGCUGUCGUCAGCUCGUGUCGUGAGAUGUUGGGUUAAGUCCCGCAACGAGCGCAACCCUCGUCCAAUGUUGCCAGCGGGUUAUGCCGGGGACUCAUUGGAGACCGCCGGGGUCAACUCGGAGGAAGGUGGGGAUGACGUCAAGUCAUCAUGCCCCUUAUGUCCAGGGCUUCACGCAUGCUACAAUGGCCGGUACAAAGAGUUGCGAGCCUGUGAGGGUGAGCGAAUCUCAAAAAGCCGGUCUCAGUUCGGAUUGGGGUCUGCAACUCGACCCCAUGAAGUCGGAGUCGCUAGUAAUCGCAGAUCAGCAACGCUGCGGUGAAUACGUUCCCGGGGCUUGUACACACCGCCCGUCAAGUCAUGAAAGUCGGUAACACCCGAAGCCGGUGGNNUAACCCGUUUGGGGGGGAGCUGUCGAAGGUGGGACUGGUAAUUAGGACUAAGUCGUAACAAGGUAGCC